UACGAAGGGGGCUAGCGUUGCUCGGAAUCACUGGGCGUAAAGGGUGCGUAGGCGGGUUCUUAAGUCAGAGGUGAAAUCCUGGAGCUCAACUCCAGAACUGCCUUUGAUACUGAGAGUCUUGAGUUCGGGAGAGGUGAGUGGAACUGCGAGUGUAGAGGUGAAAUUCGUAGAUAUUCGCAAGGACACCAGUGGCGAAGGCGGCUCACUGGCCCGAUACUGACGCUGAAGCACGAAAGCGUGGGGAGCAAACAGG
rnacentral:rRNA from 1 species